rnacentral:rRNA from 1 species
UUGAACGCUGGCGGCAGGCCUAACACAUGCAAGUCGCGCUGAUGAAGGGAGCUUGCUCCUGGAUUCAGCGGCGGACGGGUGAGUAAUGCCUAGGAAUCUGCCUGGUAGUGGGGGAUAACGUCCGGAAACGGGCGCUAAUACCGCAUACGUCCUGAGGGAGAAAGUGGGGGAUCUUCGGACCUCACGCUAUCAGAUGAGCCUAGGUCGGAUUAGCUAGUUGGUGGGGUAAAGGCCUACCAAGGCGACGAUCCGUAACUGGUCUGAGAGGAUGAUCAGUCACACUGGAACUGAGACACGGUCCAAACUCCUACGGGAGGCAGCAGUGGGGAAUAUUGGACAAUGGGCGAAAGCCUGAUCCAGCCAUGCCGCGUGUGUGAAGAAGGUCUUCGGAUUGUAAAGCACUUUAAGUUGGGAGGAAGGGCAGUAAGUUAAUACCUUGCUGUUUUGACGUUACCAACAGAAUAAGCACCGGCUAACUUCGUG